CCCCAUGCCCCAGCUCUUUCCCUGAAUCUGUUUCCAGGUGGAGCACCACGUUGUGUGAGGGAAGCAGAAAUAGAGAGAGCUGUGACGUGUUCUUUACUGGCAUCCCCAGCGUAGCAGGUGCUGGGUGCAGGGGGGGAAGGACAAAGGGAGAUGAACUGGAGAGGAAAGGAAAUACACAUUAAAGUGAAAAAGCCCCCGG
rnacentral:lncRNA from 1 species